UACAGAGGUCUCAAGCGUUGUUCGGAUUCAUUGGGCGUAAAGGGUGCGUAGGCGGCGCGGUAAGUCGGGUGUGAAAUCUUGGAGCUUAACUCCGAAACUGCAUUCGAUACUGCCGUGCUUGAGGACUGGAGAGGAGACUGGAAUUUACGGUGUAGCGGUGAAAUGCGUAGAUAUCGUAAGGAAGACCAGUGGCGAAGGCGGGUCUCUGGACAGUUCCUGACGCUGGAGGCACGAAGGCCAGGGGAGCAAACGGG
rnacentral:rRNA from 1 species